UACGUAGGGACCGAGCGUUGUCCGGAUUCAUUGGGCGUAAAGAGCUCGUAGGCGGCCACUCAAGUCGAAUGUGAAACCUCGAGGCUUAACCUCGAGCCUGCAUUCGAUACUGGGCGGCUAGAGUCUGGUAGGGGGAUCUGGAAUUCCUGGUGUAGCGGUGAAAUGCGCAGAUAUCAGGAGGAACACCGGUGGCGAAGGCGGAUCUCUGGGCCAUUACUGACGCUGAGGAGCGAAAGCGUGGGGAGCGAACAGG
rnacentral:rRNA from 1 species